GCCCAGGUGGCGAAAUUGGUAGACGCGCCAGCUUCAGGUGCUGGUUCUGUCAAAGGAGUGGGGGUUCGAGUCCCUUCCUGGGCACCA
rnacentral:tRNA from 1 species